rnacentral:ribozyme from 1 species
GUUGCUCUGAUAAGCACACACCUCUUCGUGGUGAGCGGCAGGCAACGAUCAUACGAUCGGCGAAGAUGUGAGA